UUUAUGAGGAAUCAAAGAUGAACUUGGAGCAGGAGAGGCCUUUUGUCUGCAGUGCCCCAGGCUGCUCACAGCGUUUUCCAACAGAGGAUCAUCUGAUGAUUCACAGGCACAAACAUGAAAUGACUUUGAAGUUUCCUUCAAUAAAAACAGAUAAUAUGUUAUCAGAUCAGACCCCUACACCAACACGGUUUCUGAAGAACUGUGAGGAAGUCGGCCUCUUCAACGACAUCGACUGCUCCCUAGAGCACGAGUUCAGGAAGGCACAAGAAGAAGAGAACAACAAAAGGAAUAUAUCCAUGCAUAACACAGUUGGAGGAGCAAUGGCAGGACCUGGAUCCCACCAGCUGACAAACACAAGGAUGCCAAACCACGACACCAGCGUUGUGAUUCAGCAAGCCAUGCCAUCUCCACAGUCCAGUUCUGUCAUUACACAAGCACCUUCCACAAAUCGGCAGAUUGGGCCUGUCCCAGGUUCUCUGUCUUCACUACUGCACCUACACAACCGACAAAGACAGCCUAUGCCUGCCUCUAUGCCCGGCACCCUGCCCAACCCUACCAUGCCAGGAUCUUCUGCUGUACUCAUGCCUAUGGAGCGACAAAUGUCAAUGAAUUCCAACAUCAUGGGGAUGCAAGGGCCGAACCUCAAUAAUCCGUGUGCUUCACCUCAAGUUCCCCCAAUGCAUUCAGAAGCCAAAAUGAGAUUGAAGGCAGCACUGACUCAUCAUCCUGCUGCCAUGUCGAACGGGAAUAUGAACACCAUGGGCCACAUGAUGGAAAUGAUGAGCUCGCGACAGGACCAGACACCGCACCAUCAUAUGCACUCACAUCCUCAUCAGCACCAGACACUGCCACCUCAUCAUUCAUACCCACAUCAGCACCAGCAUCCGGCACACCAUCCUCAUCCUCAGCCUCAUCACCAGCAGAACCAUCCCCACCACCACUCCCACUCGCACCUUCACGCACACCCAGCACACCACCAGACCUCACCGCACCCCCCGCUGCACUCGGGCGGACAAGCACAGGUUUCGCCGGCGGCGCAGCAGAUGCAGCCCACGCAGACGGUACAGCCACCACAGCCGACUGGAGGUCGCCGGAGGAGGGUGGUGGACGAAGACCCAGAUGAGAGGAGGCGGAAAUUUCUGGAAAGGAACCGAGCCGCUGCCACGCGCUGCAGACAGAAGAGGAAGGUCUGGGUGAUGUCACUGGAAAAGAAAGCAGAAGAGCUCACCCAGACAAACAUGCAGCUUCAGAACGAGGUUUCCAUGCUGAAAAAUGAGGUAGCACAGCUGAAACAGUUAUUGUUAACACAUAAAGACUGUCCGAUAACAGCUAUGCAGAAAGAAUCACAAGGAUAUCUAAGUAAGUAGCUGGUAUGUUUGUGCUGUCUCCACACUCCUCACAGGAAAGCAAACCUUCCAAUUCUUCCCUCCAGAACCCCUUCUCGGUCAUAUUAUCACUUGAACCUGUCUUCUCAAACAUCAUCCGAGCCAUCCAAUCUCCUGCCCUUAUUUAUCCAGCCCCGCUCAAAACCAAAAAAGCCCCGGUUUGCAUCCCACCCAGCAGAGCUAGUCUUCCCCACCCCUCCUUUCGGCAAGGAGAUGCACACGGAUGGACGCUCACUCCCCUGUGGAGGAUCCUGCCUGAACUCACAGCUCCAAACCUGCAAGAGUCCUCCUGGGCACGGCGCUGCCAGAACCUUAAAAUAACUCUCAAAAGGAAAGUUAAAAAGGAAAACAUUACAGUCCCCUCCAGCGAAAAUGGUACUGUGCUCUGACAGUGGCACAGACCAGGCCUGGCGCAGGUUUUCAAGGUCCUGAGAGCAGCCCUCCUGCAAGCCCGGUCCCAGCUUGCUCCCAGCAGCAAGUCAUCCAGCACAACACCAUAACGACCUCCUCCUCCGUCAGUGACGUCGUGGGAAGCUCCACUCUCACCCAGCUCGCCAGCCACAGAACAGACAUCAACCCCAUCCUUUAAAAGUGGUUGAUCAGAAACUGCUGGGGGAGUGUGGUACCGUAUCAAAGCGUCCUCUCUGCUAAGGACAUUCGCAACCGUAACUCAAGCCUGGAAGAUUCCUCAGUUCUUGAAAGACUCUGGCUAUUCAUUUUUAUAGUUAUUAAAAUGUCUUUUAUACUUAGUUACAUAAAAGGGAGUUACGCAAUUAAUAUGCUAUCAGCUUGGGAAAUGCUUUGGUGCUUUCUCCAUUUUUUGGUACCAGUUACUUGUUUAUAAACCUAACUGUUUCUGUACAUAGUCAUGUUUCCUUCUCACCAGUCUAGCCUGCAGCCUCAGAAAUACGAAGUUGUGUUAAACUGCAGCUUGUUAGCCAAUGUGAGGCAUGAAAAGUAUUAAACAGAGUCAAACAUAGGUAACUAGGAGUAAUUAGGCUAUAAAUAUAGAGCGAGGGCAUCUGCUGACAGCAUAAUAAAAAAGAGUUAGCGUUGUGCUAUCAGCAGACCACGUCUUGCAUUCAGAGCCUCUUUCAGAGCAGUUAUAUAGGAUGUGGCUUCAGGACAAAAUCAAGCCCAAAUAGCGUGCUUUUUUGUCUAGCCCUCCCCCUUCUCCUCUCUCCCCUACCCUGGCCUUUUUCUCCUCCACUUAUUCUCACACCUUCCUUUUCCCUUCCCUUUUCAUUUCCCAGCUUUUUUUCCUUGCUUUUUUUUUUUUUUUUUUUUCAUUCCAAGGCUUUCUCACUUCCCUCUUUUUCUCAAAGAAUGGUAAUGAACAAGCAAAAACUUCAAGCCCACCUAAAAACUCUUGGCACGGCUGCUGCUUUCACUAGCUCUUCACCCGCAGUUGAGCUGCGCCAAGCAUUUGGCUUUUAAAAAAUACAAAUGCUCCUGAUUUAGUGUUUUUAAUAAAUAGGGAAAGGCGAAAACAGCACAGCCGCAGGUGAAGCAGGAUGGUGAGCCAGCUGUGUUGAUGCUAGCAGCCCUGUAAGCUUCUGUGGUGCAGUAGAGGCAUAGCGAGCAACACCUGAGAAUUACAGCAAUUUUUUGCACUGCCAGUCAUUAAUGUAGGAAAAUCCAUGUGUAUAUAAUAAUUUGGAAAAGUUCUGUUCCCUAACCUGGUUGUGUUGUUCUAGCAACGAAAACUAACAGCCUCAGGCUUCAUGGGCUAUAAAUGAGAAAUAAAUCAGUGUAAUGGUUCUGACCAGUUGGAAAAAUGCCAUUUUUAAUUCCCAGGGAAAGACCUUCUCUCUGCAGGCAUUCCUUUAAACGUUCACAAACUGAUCCCAAGCUGGCAGACAGCAGUGUAGCUUCACUGACUUUAAUGGCACUUAACACCCGUUUAGUGCGGGUAAGGAAUUGUUCUUUAGGACGCUAAAUAAUUUUUAGAAGGCACGCAGCAGCUAAAAAAUGCUGCAAGAAUGCCAAGUCCCACACUUGGGAUAAAAUACAGUCCUGCAGAGAGGGUCUGGAAAAGAGCCUUAUGCCACAAUUAAGGUUUUUGUUUGGACUCUGAGCCUGCCCCUCAGCACAACUGAUUUGCAUCCCCGAGUGGUCCCAGUGAUUGAUGGGAAAAUCAGACAGAGAUGAUGCCAGUUAAUUAUGCUGCCUUGCUGUAUAUUGGAACCUGAUUUUGCUCUCAAAUCCGUCAGUGGCAAAACCUCCUGCUGCUCGCCCAGGGAGCAGGCUCUGAGCUGGUGAAAAAAUGUUCAAACUUUUUGAGCUGCAUCUUUAAUAGUAAAAUUCACAUUAUUCCCAGCAAAUCCUCUAGCCCCAAACAUGCUUUGUUCUGAAGCAAAGCUCUCUUCCUCAAAGACUGUGCCUUUGGUCUUUGGAGGAAUCAUGGGUUUUAAAAGGGUGGGUCUUCUCCAUGUGGGAGGAAGAGUGAAACAACUGAAGUGUGAGGAGGCACUGUAAGGAGCAGGGCCGCUCUGGAAGGGAAAGCAAAUUUCUGAGCAUCACUCAUUGCUGAAUUAGUUCUUAUCUUGGUGACUAACUUUUUAUCAGUAUUCUUUUCUUUAACAGCUCACUUUCCAUUUAUGCAAAUACAUUCAAAAGAAGAAGAUUUUUAAUGUACAGUGUAAAUCUUGACUUAAUUAUAUAGUCUAAGAACCAAAAAAAAUUAUGAAAAAAUACAAAUGUAAAGGAUUUUCUAUUAUAUUUUAGACAAACAUAUACUUUUAAAGUGUUUUAAAUACUGAAUCUAUAAUUUUUUUUAAUCUCCAGUUGUAAUAGCUAAAUGGUUUUGCUUCAUCAUGGCUCCCAGGAGAACUUUUUUCAAAUAUUCAGUCGAGAAAAAUGUUCCAGCUGAGUAUCCACUGUAAAAAACCCAAAUAAGCAUUUCCCCUACAUCUGAAUUUCAUCAUUCACCAUCAAAAAAGGAAAUGCCAUUCCAGGGUUAAUUUAAAAAACUUUCCCUCUAUAUGGGUAGCACUUAAACACAUUAAAAAAUAAAAAUCAAAGUUGUUGGUAAUAUUAGAAUACCCAGUUGAGCUACACUGCACUAGAAUUACGGUUUAGCUUCAUUUUAUUCAUUCUCCUCAAUUAAAAUAUUUAGCUGUUAAAAUGAAUGCCUCUACAUUAAAAAGAAAAAAAAAAAAGGAAAAAAUACAAAAACCUUGCCUAAGUUUUGUUAAAUUCAGCAACUUGACAGUUUGACUGAUGUGUAUUAUAUAUAGCUCAAUUAUUUCUUUUUUUAAUGCUAACUAGGCAAGCCAACCACACAUGUUGGCCUAAAUGUGUAAUUACAAUGAAAUGUCUCCUCUCUAUACUAUUGGCCUUUAGGUAUAAUCCUUGCUAGUGAUGUGGAAAUAAGUAAAGGAUGAAAAGCUAUUUGCUAUUGCUUCUUGUAACUCUGUCGCAGGUUCACAGGCCAAGACAACAUGCAGCAUAUUUAUAUCGGCUGUAUCAUCGGGAAAAGGACCAACUGUACCAGGCACCUUAUAUUAUACAUCAAAUUUGCUUCCACAUUAAAAUGCUCUUGUUUUCUAGGGGAGUGAUCCUGCAGCCUUUCCUCAAGCUGCUGGUCUAACUGGGCACUGGAGACUGCCUGAGCAAGGGCUGCGGGAGAAGCCCCAGCCCUCUGUCUCCAGGAUGUCCUUCUGCCAUGUGGUCAGUGGCAGCCGCCUCUUCCUAAACACGUCACUCUAAAUGCACUUCCUGGGCUCUUUCCAUCAAGGAGGAAUCCUGCUUUUCCACAAGCUACUUCUGGAGACUACUCCACUUUCCUCUUUGCCCUGCCAAUCUAGCCUGUUGCUGGGCUCACCAGGCUCUGUGCCCCAUCCCACUGCCAGCCAAGGACAACUCAGACCACUUCCAUCAUCCACUCUCCAGGGCACUCGCAGGGUGGUGAGCCUUGGCCAGUGCCUUGUUCAGGAGGAGGUGUUACCCUACCAUAGACAGCAUCUCCUGGGUGUGACAUUGGAAGCAGGUUGGAAAUCUCAGCCACGGAGAACUCCAAUACUUUGAUCAGAAAGAAAUGAUGCUGCCUGUGAUCCAGCUCUGGCACCCCCAGCACCCCUUCCCCAAGUCAAUUUAUGCAAGCCAUAUUCAUAUAAUGCUGCCUGUGGGAGACAAGUAGUUUGUGUGCUAUCAUGGUGUGUUUUAUAAGGACAACGACGAUGAUGAUGAGGAUUUAUGGAGAAUUUCAUGCUGUUGGGAAUUAAUUCCUGCUAUGAAGCUAAAUGUCUGCUGCCCAUAUUCUGAAUAGUGGAAAGUCAAUGGUUCAGUGCCUCAGUGUGUGUGGAUUUAGUGUUAAUGACUCAAUCCUGUUAACUAACAAGCCAGCUAUAACCGUUGUUAAAUGCCCAACUUUUGAGGAUUCAUAUUUUUUUAAGCAACAAUAUUUAGUGUUGAAAAUUAGCCUUUUAGUUUAGGCAAAAUGUGCUUUUUAGCAGCUAAUACCUUUUUUAAAAAAAAAGCGUAUAGAGUGAAUUUAUGAAAAUUCAUGAGGACCAAAGCAAUUUUAAAACAGGAAUCUAUUAAUUUAGUAUUCACAUAGAAUUUUAUAAAGUAUUUAUUAAUAAAUGUUAUUUUAACACAUUCCAUUUGAACAGUAUUCUUGUACAGAAUCUGUUUGUUGUUUUUUUUUUAAAGUUACAAUAUUAGUUUUGCAAUAAACUACUCUAGGUGUGUGUGUGCAUCUUAAUCUUUCAGGGUCUCAAGCAGAAGUCAUCCAUCUAAGAUGGAAAAGUUUGCUGAGGUCAGUUGUACAGAAAUUCCUAGAAUUAAAUGUUUUCCUUAAAGCAGCAUCUGCUUUUUUUUCCUUUUUUUUUUUUUUUUUUUUGUAACAAUGAAACAAAUUAUAAACCUUCAGUUGUUUCCUUUGUAUUGCAAAAUGUGCUUUCUCCUUUUAGAAAGCAUGAGUCAACAUAUAACUGGAAAGCCUGUCUUUUUUUUUUCUGCUUUUUUUUUUAAGGCUGAUUUUAUACAUCACCACAGACGAUCUAACCCCAUCCUCAUUUUUUGUCUAGUAUCACAUAGUGAGUUGCACUAUACUGCCUUAUCAUUGCCUCUUCAGUCCUCUUACUAAGCAGUGUUCCUUAGAUUUAGACCAUUGAAGCUCCAUUAUACAUCAGAGAAAAUUACUGGAGGGGGAAGAAGAGAAAAAAAUUGAUCUGUAGACAUAAAACCUAAACUGUGCCUAUAAAACAAAACCAGUUACAACUAAUUAGUAUCUUAUUUCUACAUUUCAAUUAUUUAUAUUCUUUUAAAAUUGCACUUUAGCUCUUGCUCUCUUUCUUGCUCUCCCUUGUUGAAUCAUUUAUACUCUUGUAAAAGUUUUGCACCAGAUACAUUUAUAUGCUUUCACUGGUGGCAUAUCUACAACUUGUCUCUCACACCUGGCCGAGCGGAGAAGCUGAGACCAGCCAGUCUGCAGUGUGACUUAGACUUUACACCCUCUUCAUGACAGCAUAUAAAUGUUUUAUUAUGCAAUGUGUGUGAUGUGAGGCGGCAUCUAAGCUACAUUUAUAAUCUCUCAUCCCAAGAACCAAAGUGUCCUGUAUAUCGUAAGGUCAGGAGACUGGCUCUGUUGUGCAUUGUGAUGCACUUUGACUGUUGUCCAACUCACAGUAGCUGCAAAGCUGCGGUGGUAACAGUGGCCAUACUAUGUAUUAGAGUUCUGAAUCAAUAAAAUAUGUUGCCUUAUAACUUGACUAGGGACAGCACCUUUAAAAACAAAAAAAAAAAAAACAAAA